rnacentral:rRNA from 2 species
CCUAAUACAUGCAAGUCGAACGAACUCUGGUAUUGAUUGGUGCUUGCAUCAUGAUUUACAUUUGAGUGAGUGGCGAACUGGUGAGUAACACGUGGGAAACCUGCCCAGAAGCGGGGGAUAACACCUGGAAACAGAUGCUAAUACCGCAUAACAACUUGGACCGCAUGGUCCGAGCUUGAAAGAUGGCUUCGGCUAUCACUUUUGGAUGGUCCCGCGGCGUAUUAGCUAGAUGGUGGGGUAACGGCUCACCAUGGCAAUGAUACGUAGCCGACCUGAGAGGGUAAUCGGCCACAUUGGGACUGAGACACGGCCCAAACUCCUACGGGAGGCAGCAGUAGGGAAUCUUCCACAAUGGACGAAAGUCUGAUGGAGCAACGCCGCGUGAGUGAAGAAGGGUUUCGGCUCGUAAAACUCUGUUGUUAAAGAAGAACAUAUCUGAGAGUAACUGUUCAGGUAUUGACGGUAUUUAACCAGAAAGCCACGGCUAACUACGUGCCAGCAGCCGCGGUAAUACGUAGGUGGCAAGCGUUGUCCGGAUUUAUUGGGCGUAAAGCGAGCGCAGGCGGUUUUUUAAGUCUGAUGUGAAAGCCUUCGGCUCAACCGAAGAAGUGCAUCGGAAACUGGGAAACUUGAGUGCAGAAGAGGACAGUGGAACUCCAUGUGUAGCGGUGAAAUGCGUAGAUAUAUGGAAGAACACCAGUGGCGAAGGCGGCUGUCUGGUCUGUAACUGACGCUGAGGCUCGAAAGUAUGGGUAGCAAACAGGAUUAGAUACCCUGGUAGUCCAUACCGUAAACGAUGAAUGCUAAGUGUUGGAGGGUUUCCGCCCUUCAGUGCUGCAGCUAACGCAUUAAGCAUUCCGCCUGGGGAGUACGGCCGCAAGGCUGAAACUCAAAGGAAUUGACGGGGGCCCGCACAAGCGGUGGAGCAUGUGGUUUAAUUCGAAGCUACGCGAAGAACCUUACCAGGUCUUGACAUACUAUGCAAAUCUAAGAGAUUAGACGUUCCCUUCGGGGACAUGGAUACAGGUGGUGCAUGGUUGUCGUCAGCUCGUGUCGUGAGAUGUUGGGUUAAGUCCCGCAACGAGCGCAACCCUUAUUAUCAGUUGCCAGCAUUAAGUUGGGCACUCUGGUGAGACUGCCGGUGACAAACCGGAGGAAGGUGGGGAUGACGUCAAAUCAUCAUGCCCCUUAUGACCUGGGCUACACACGUGCUACAAUGGAUGGUACAACGAGUUGCGAACUCGCGAGAGUAAGCUAAUCUCUUAAAGCCAUUCUCAGUUCGGAUUGUAGGCUGCAACUCGCCUACAUGAAGUCGGAAUCGCUAGUAAUCGCGGAUCAGCAUGCCGCGGUGAAUACGUUCCCGGGCCUUGUACACACCGCCCGUCACACCAUGAGAGUUUGUAACACCCAAAGUCGGUGGGGUAACCUUUUAGGAACCAGCCGCAUAAG